UACGGAGGGUGCAAGCGUUAUCCGGAUUUAUUGGGUUUAAAGGGUCCGUAGGCGGUUCUGUAAGUCAGUGGUGAAAUCUCAUAGCUUAACUAUGAAACUGCCAUUGAUACUGCAGGUCUUGAGUAAGGUAGAAGUAGCUGGAAUAAGUAGUGUAGCGGUGAAAUGCAUAGAUAUUACUUAGAACACCAAUGGCGAAGGCAGGUUACUAUGUAUUAACUGACGCUGAUGGACGAAAGCGUGGGGAGCGAACAGG
rnacentral:rRNA from 1 species